rnacentral:rRNA from 1 species
UACGUAUGGUGCAAACGUUAUCCGGAUUUACUGGGUGUAAAGGGAGCGCAGGCGGCACGGCAAGCCUGAUGUGAGAGCCCGCGGCCCAACCGCGGGACUGCAUUGGGAACUACCGGGCUGGAGUGCCGGAGAGGUAGGCGGAAUUCCUAGUGUAGCGGUGAAAUGCGUAGAUAUUAGGAGGAACACCAGUGGCGAAGGCGGCCUACUGGACGGUGACUGACGCUGAGGCUCGAAAGCGUGGGGAGCAAACAGG